GUGCUCACUUUGGCAGCACAUAUACAAAUAUUAGAACAAUACAGAGAAGAUUAGCAUGGCCCCUGUGCAAGGAUGACAUGCAAAUUCAUGAAGUGUUCACAUUUUUU
rnacentral:snRNA from 1 species